AAUAUUGGACAAUGGGGGCAACUCUGAUCGAGCCAUGCUGCGUGUGUGAAGAAGCUCUUCGGAGUGUAAAGCACUUUAAGGUGGGAGGAAGGGCUUUAGGGUAAUACGCUGAAGUUGUGACGUUACCAACAGAAUAAGCACCGGCUAACUCUGUUCCAGCAGCCGCGGUAAUACAGAGGGUGCAAGGGUUAAGCGGAAUUACUAGGCGUAAAGCGCGCGUAGGUGGUUCAGUAAGAUGGGUGUGAAAUCCCCGGGCUUAACCUGGGAACUGCUUUCAUAACUGCUGAGCUAGAGUACGGUAGGGGGUAGUGGAAUUUCCUGUGUAGCGGUGAAAUGCGUAGAUAUAGGAAGGAACACCAGUGGCGAAGGCGACUACCUGGACUGAUACUGACACUGAGGUGCGAAAGCGUGGGGAGCAAAC
rnacentral:rRNA from 1 species